rnacentral:snoRNA from 1 species
CCCCUCUCAGGGUCGCACCUGGAGAGUUUCCAGUACUGUACCAGUCUCGGCUAUGGGCAGGAGAGUCAAGCAGAGGCCUACCCAUUCCAUUCCUAGCUUGGGCAGUGGCUAGCGAGUGGAAGGCAAUCUGCUAUAAAU